rnacentral:rRNA from 1 species
GAUUGAACGCUGGCGGCAUGCCUAACACAUGCAAGUCGAACGGCAGCACGGUCUAGUUUACUAGAUGGGUGGCGAGUGGCGAACGGGUGAGUAAUGCGUAGGAAUAUACCUUAAAGAGGGGGACAACCUGGGGAAACUCAGGCUAAUACCGCGUAAUCUCUGAGGAGAAAAGCUGGGGACCGUAAGGCCUGGCGCUUUAAGAAUAGCCUGCGUCCGAUUAGCUAGUUGGUGGGGUAAAGGCCCACCAAGGCGACGAUCGGUAGCUGGUCUGAGAGGACGAACAGCCACACUGGGACUGAGACACGGCCCAGACUCUUACGGGAGGCAGCAGUGGGGAAUAUUGGACAAUGGGGGGAACCCUGAUCCAGCAAUGCCGCGUGUGUGAAGAAGGCCUGAGGGUUGUAAAGCACUUUCAGUGGGGAGGAGGAUUUGAAGGUUAAGAGCCAUUAAAUUGGACGUUACCCACAGAAGAAGCACCGGCUAACUCCGUGCCAGCAGCCGCGGUAAUACGGAGGGUGCGAGCGUUAAUCGGAAUUACUGGGCGUAAAGGGUGCGUAGGUGGUUAAUUAAGUUAGAUGUAAAAGCCCUGGGCUUAACCUGGGAUUGAGAUUUAAUACUGAUUGACUGGAGUAUUGGAGAGGGUAGUGGAAUUUCCGGUGUAGCGGUGAAAUGCGUAGAGAUCGGAAGGAACACCAGUGGCGAAGGCGGCUACCUGGCCAAAUACUGACACUGAAGCACGAAAGCGUGGGGAGCAAACAGGAUUAGAUACCCUGGUAGUCCACGCCGUAAACGAUGUCAACUAGCCGUUGGUCAUAUUAAGAUGAUAAGUGGCGCAGCAAACGCGAUAAGUUGACCGCCUGGGGAGUACGGUCGCAAGAUUAAAACUCAAAGGAAUUGACGGGGC